AGUGAACGCUGGCGGCAGGCCUAACACAUGCAAGUCGAGCGGCAGCGCGGGGGCAACCCUGGCGGCGAGCGGCGGACGGGUGAGGAAUUCGUCGGAAUCUGCCUUUUUGUGGGGGAUAACGUAGGGAAACUUACGCUAAUACCGCAUACGUCCUACGGGAGAAAGUGGGGGACCGCAAGGCCUCACGCAGAAAGAUGAGCCGACGACCGAUUAGCUAGUUGGUGGGGUAAAGGCCCACCAAGGCGACGAUCGGUAGCUGGUCUGAGAGGAUGAUCAGCCACACUGGGACUGAGACACGGCCCAGACUCCUACGGGAGGCAGCAGUGGGGAAUAUUGGAUAAUGGGCGCAAGCCUGAUCCAGCCAUGCCGCGUGUGUGAAGAAGGCCUUCGGGUUGUAAAGCACUUUUGUCCGGAAAGAAAUCCCUGGAGCUAAUACCUUCGGGGGAUGACGGUACCGGAAGAAUAAGCACCGGCUAACUUCGUG
rnacentral:rRNA from 1 species